GGCACCAAGGCAUCCUCCUCUGGAGCCAGCUGCAGCCGGGUUCUGGGGACGUUGAUGGCUCAGCAGGAGUUGUGGUCAGCCUGAGCCAGCAGCUCUCUGCACCCGGAGGCACAGCCAGGCCUGGCACACUCCACUGGGCAGGGAGGAGGAGUGGGGGCCGUGUCUACGCACUUGUUUGUUUCUUGUUGAAGCCAGAAGCAGAACCUGAGUGACUCCCGGAAAUGGAUGCCCAAUGGUUUUUCUGUUCAGGAAAUGAAGUUCAGCCUCUACCCACAUCUUCCACCAAAGCCAGGCUUCCAUGUUGCCACAACAUAGCUCUGGUAAGCUGGGCAGCUCCGGAGCAUCAGGGAGGAGACCAGCUGGAAACCCAAGAAGCUGAAGUUUCAGCGGCUGCUCAGCUCCAUCACACUCCCAGAAUAGCGCACCGGUUCCCGGCAGCCUGAGCCGCACCACAACUGGGCUUCCGGGCUGAAGAUGUGGCUCAGUUGGUGGAGUGCUUGCCCAGGAUGCAAGGAGCCCUGGGUUCACCCCUAGCACGGAAUAAACCCUUUGUGGUGGAGCCCACCUGAAUCUCAGCUCACAGGAGGCAGAGGUGGGAGCAUCAGAAGUUCAAGGUCAUCCUUGGCUACUCAGUCAAUACAAGGCCAAACUGGGCUACCCGAGACUCUGCCUUAAAAAUCAGUCAAUCAAACAAACACAAUAAAUAAAGAAGGCUUUGUUUUGUACAGCAUGUUGGUAGUGGCUGGAUUAGCCAUAGGAGAGCCAUGUUGGUGGAGUCUGCAGAGGUUGGUGAACGGCUAAAUGGCUGCUGGCUGUGUAGAGUCGAAGUGACCACUGGGGCCAAUGACCACCAGCAGAGAAUG